rnacentral:lncRNA from 1 species
AAAAAAAUACUUCAUGCAAGACAAACUGAAUUACUUCAAGGCAGGAAGGAGGAAACACUUAAAGGAGCCUGCAAGGGGACACAGCAUUUCCGGACUGCAGAUCAAGGGAGUAUAGUAACAUGCUGGGGGAAGAGCUUCUUUUUCAUCUGGAUAACUGUGAAUGUACCAGAUGACAGCUUUUUCUUAAUGUGGUAUUUUUUUGCUGGGCUUGCUUUACCUCUUCAGUUCCAUUUACUUCUGCUGGUAGUUUGCAAGUGUCAGUCAUUCCUAGGCUGCGUUUGCUGUUCAGGCAAAUGGAGAGGCAGCCUCUUGCCUGAGAGUGCAAUAAAGCAGAGCCUGCAGCUUCCACAAGGCAGGACUUGAAUGCUUCUGAAGAAAGUCUCCUGUUUGUGGUCAGCAGUUCACCAUCAUGCUGCCUGCUUCCACCACAUGUAUGGGUUGGAUGCUAUGGAGGUGAGUGGGACUGGCUGUGUAAGGCAAAGUAUCCACUGAUGGUGUUUCUGACUGGAAACAGCCCAUGUACCAAAACUGAUCUUUCCCCUGCAGCAUGUGGAGAAGACUGUGGUGGAGCUGGCUGCCCCCCUGAGGCCCAUGGAAGACCAUGAUGGAGUGGAUACCCACAAUGCAACCUGUGGAGGACCCUUGAAGGAAGCUGAAGCUUGUGGAGAGACCACACAGGAGUGGGCUCCUGGUGGGAGCUGUGGCUGUGUGGAGAGGAGCCC